rnacentral:rRNA from 1 species
UAGGGAAUUUUCCGCAAUGGGCGAAAGCCUGACGGAGCGACGCCGCGUGCAGGAUGAAGGCCUUCGGGUCGUAAACUGCUUUUAUGGUGGAAGAUUAUGACUGUACACCAAGAAUAAGGGUUUGCUAACUCCGUGCCAGCAGCCGCGGUCAUACGGAGGACCCAAGCGUUACCCGGAAUUACUGGGCGUAAAGAGUUGCGUAGGCGGCCCGCCAAGUUUUUGCUUAAAUCUCAAGGCUCAACUUUGAGGUGCGCAGAAAAACUGGCGAGCUAGAGGACAACAGAGGCGAGUGGAAUUUUCGGUGUAGGAGUGAAAUCCGUAGAUACCGAGAGGAACACCAAUGGCGUAAGCAGCUUGCUAGGUUGUUUCUGACGCUGAGGCACGAAAGCGUGGGUAGCGAACCGGAUUAGAUACCCGUGUAGUCC